rnacentral:lncRNA from 1 species
UCCGUCCACCUUCCGGAAGUCAGGGCCGCGGCGCUUCUGGUCCCGGAGACUUGGGGCUCCCGGGCUUCUGAGCGGCUCGGGUUCCGCGCUGCCGGCAGGGCUUGGGGGCGCCUUAGAGCCGAACCCCGUUUUUUCAGGAAAGGGCGCUGCGACCACCCCCGUCCCGGGCCUCAGCCCCUCUGCUGCAGACCCUCGGGAUCGUCGCUGGUAGGAGCUCUGUCCCCCGUGUCUGUGUCCAGGACCCCCGAAGCGCCGCGCCUAGGAACCCCCUAGCGCUGGGAGCCCGGCCCUGCUCGACCACGGGCUUUGGGCUGGAGGCGUCAUCGUCGCCACAGCGAACGCUUAUUUGGCACCGAGUGUCCGCCAGGCAUCGCUCUAAGCGCUUUAUACCCAUAACUCACUUCAUCUCAGCCACCCGGUUCCGUAGAAGCGUUUCAUCCGCGUUUUACAGACGUGUGCAGGAAAGAUUCUGAAGCUUGGCGGAGAGGGGUGUGUGAGUGGACACCAGUGAAGUAACGGUUUUUGUGUUACGAUGAUUUCUGUUUUCCUCUGCUGCCCUGUAAUGGCAGGAACUCGGAUAGUCUGGUCUUCAGACCAGGAGGACUCCCAGGAGAGAACGGAGAGCCAGUGUGCUGUGUGUCACGGUCCCUGGAUGAACGUUUGUGGAACUGGAUUGAAUUAAACAAGACGUGCAAAGCAAGUGGUUCACGAGAUUCGAUUGCUGUAGGGACCCCGUGGGUGUGGAAUCAGACAGUAUUGGUCCUUUCAUGACUGGCUUAUUUCACAAAACCCGAUGCCGUCGAGGUCCAUCCAUGCUGAGAUAUUUACGGAGCAUCCCCAGCUGCUGGAUGCUGGGACCCACCAGUGGGCAAGAGGGCCGUGCCCACCCCUUCCUGGAAGAGACACUCACUCAGUAAAUGCAGAGAUUCAGUGUUGGGGUAACCCCAGCACACAGCCCUGAGGGAGGAAGCCCAGUGAUUUGAUCGGAUUUGCUUUUCUCUUCUGCCUCGGAUUCUGUCCAACCCCUGGAAGGACCUCUGAGGUGUCCCGUGGCUGGUUCUAGGCCCCAUUCAAGCCUCCUCCUCCAGGAAGCCUUCCCAGUCCUGGGCAUCUGUAGCCAGCUCGGUGUUUCUCACCUGGGGCCUGGGACGUCUCCCAUUCUGAACUGCCGUGUUUUGGGUUUACUGUUCUCUGGCUUUUGGUCCCAGCCGGACGGUGGCCUCUUGUGUUCAGGGACAAGGCAAGGAGCAUCCAUGCACCCCCACAGUACCCAGGCUGGGUCUGUGCCCGCCAGGCCCCCGGCAAAGCUUGGAUGAUCCGGGCUGGGCUGUUCUCCUGCUGCUCUCCUGCUGCUGGCCUCGCUGUAUCAGCUGAUGGCCAUCGCGCCUCCUGCACCCGUCAUCCCGCCCUGCACGCCCCCGCCACGUGGAUGAGCUCCCUGGGGAGUUAAUGGCUAAUGGAGUCUCCGCUCUCUCUUGUCAAAUGCAGCCAUCAUCCGCUGGUGCUUUAAGGGACUCUCUCCCGUCCCCACCCUAUUCUCAGGUGGCUCCUACCGACACCACCUAAUGGUGAACCCCAACACGAGGACACAGGCAGUGCCCUCUCAGGACCACUGUGGGUGCCACCAGGCACGACUUCCUAAACACCCACAGAGCAAAAACCUGGAAAUUCAGCCGAGGCACUGGGACCCCAACCUCUCCCAGAGUGGCCCCAGCUCCACGGCGUCUGCAUGGCUCUGGCCGUGAGCAGAGCAGCCCCGACCUCCGUCCUGACCCAGGGCGCCGGAGCGCCACUGCGGAUCUCACCACCACACAAGCCAGACCUGCUAGGAAGCCCUUCCCGGCCACCAGCUCUCGGGCGAUGCACACAACAGGGCCUUUUGAAUUCCCUGAGGUUAAGGUUCCCCUUGAGUCUCCUGGGCUACAAGCAAAUCCCCCGAGGGGAGAAGUCCAGGCUGACACAGCCUCCUGCACCCCUGCCUUGGGAGGCCACACCUCGUUUGCCUCUAGAACCGACGACUGGGGAGCACUGUUUGCAGAGUUCUCUCUCUCUGGAACGGUGAAGGAAUCUGAAGCCCAGAGAGGGAAAACAAUGCCUCCUGGGUCACACAGCCCAUCAGGGGCAGGGCAGGGACGAACGGCGAGAAAAGGACCAGCGCGAGAGGAGAUCCCCAGCAGUGAUUCCUCAGCCAAGCCCAGCGUCUACCCACAUCCACACCUCACAGCCACCUGAUGGGGAAGGCACCAUUGCCCCUUUUCAAAGGUGAGAAAACAGAGGCUCAGAGAGGUUCAGCAACUUCUCCCACAGCUACUUCGUUGUAGAACUGCAGUUCCAGGUGUCCCCGAGCUCUCCCUUCCCGAGCCAUCUGCUCCUGCCCUCCUAUCCGAGCCCUGGCCCUCCCAGUCAAAGCCGGGUAGUGGCUGUUCAGAAGCCUUGGGGCUAGUCAAUCCCAGCUGUCUCGGACCAGGGCCCCCCCCAGGAGGAGACCCUGAAGGAUGCAGUUGAGAAUAUGUGCUUUCUUUGGUAGGUGAUCUCAGGAAUUGCAGGGGAAAGAGGGGGAGCGUGUUAGUGUAGGCUCUCCGGAGAAGCAGAACCAACGCACAGAGGAGAUUUAGGAUGAGGAAUCUGGUUUAUGUGACUCUGGGGGCUGAGAAGGCCCACCAUCUGUGUUGCAAGCUGGAAACCCAGGGAAGCCUGAGGUGUGAUUCAAACUCAGCUCAGGUCUGGAGGCCUGAGAACCAGGGCAGCCGAUGGUGGACAUCCAGUCCAGGGGCAAGAGAUGACGAGAUGUCCCGGCUCCAGUGGCGAGGCAGGAAAUGAGGGGUGAACUCCUCCUCCCUCUGCUGUCUGUUCUAUUCAAGUUCUUGAGGGAUUGGAUUAUGCCCAGCCACUUGGGGAGGGCAGUCCACCUUCCUGAGUCCACAAUUCAAAUGCUGAUCUAAUCCAGAAACACUCUCACAGACACAGUGUGUAGUCUGGGCACCCCACAGUGCACUUAAGUGGACACAUAAAAUUAACCAUCCCAGGGAGUGAGAUGGGUAAGGGAAGAUGGGCCACAGUGGGUGUGUCUCCAUGCCUACCCCCACUGUGGGCAGCUGCUGGAGCACACGCCUCAAAGUCUUCCCUGAGGGAGAGGGAGCUGAGGUGUUUAUAUCCCAGCUCUGUCAGGCAUUGGCUGAAUGUCCACACUCCUGGAUCACCGCCUCUCAUCCUCAUGAUGUCCCAUGGUCCUCAUUUCACAAGUGAGCUCUGGGUACAUGGGGAGCAUCAGUCACACCCUGGGUCAGUACCUCAGCUGUCUCUCACAUGACAUCCUCAUUAUCCACACUGCAAAGCCAACCAUCCCUAUGAUGGGUUCAUUGUGGAUCAUGACUUAGUGGGUCAAGAGUUUGGAAGUGGCUCAGCUGGGCGGUUCUUCUGCUCCAUGUGGCUGCCAGAUGGUACCCUGCUGGUGGGCAGUCUGGUCUAGAGGGUCCAUGAUGGCUUUACUCACAUGCCUGGCAUCUUGACAGGGACAGCUGGAAGGCAAGGUUCAGCUGGGACUGUCCACAGAGCUCCUCCCUGUGGCCUUUCCAGCAUGGUGGUCUCAGGGUAGCUGGACUUCCUGCAUGACAGCUCAGGGCUCCCAGAGCUACUGUCCCAAGAGAUAGAAGGUGGAAACUGCCAGUCUCUUAGGCUAGGACCAGAAACCAGCACCCCUGCACCCACAGCCUUUUGGUAGUGAUGAAAUAAACAUAAGAUUUAUCAUUUUAAUCAUUCGUAAGUGGGAUUAAAUACAUUUACAAUAUUGUGUAACCAUCGGCACUGUCUAUAUCUAAAACUUUUUCAUCAUCUGCAAUAAAAACUCUGUAUGCAUUAAAAAAAAAAAAAAAA